GGCGCGCAAUUACCCAAUCCCGACACGGGGAGGUAGUGACAAUAAAUACUGAUACAGGGCUCUUUUGGGUCUUGUAAUUGGAAUGAGUACAAUUUAAAUCCCUUAACGAGGAACAAUUGGAGGGCAAGUCUGGUGCCAGCAGCCGCGGUAAUUCCAGCUCCAAUAGCGUAUAUUAAAGUUGUUGUGGUUAAAAAGCUCGUAGUUGAACCUUGGGCCUGGCUGGCCGGUCCGCCUCACCGCGUGUACUGGUCCGGCCGGGCCUUUCCCUCUGUGGAACCCCAUGCCCUUCACUGGGUGUGGCGGGGAAACAGGACUUUUACUUUGAAAAAAUUAGAGUGCUCCAGGCAGGCCUAUGCUCGAAUACAUUAGCAUGGAAUAAUAGAAUAGGACGUGUGGUUCUAUUUUGUUGGUUUCUAGGACCGCCGUAAUGAUUAAUAGGGACAGUCGGGGGCAUCAGUAUUCAAUUGUCAGAGGUGAAAUUCUUGGAUUUAUUGAAGACUAACUACUGCGAAAGCAUUUGCCAAGGAUGUUUUCAUUAAUCAGGAACGAAAGUUAGGGGAUCGAAGACGAUCAGAUACCGUCGUAGUCUUAACCAUAAACUAUGCCGACUAGGGAUCGGACGAUGUUAUUUUUUUGACUCGUUCGGCACCUUACGAG
rnacentral:rRNA from 1 species